rfam:Salmo salar isolate Sally breed double haploid chromosome ssa26, whole genome shotgun sequence.
UGCAUUCACUACUGUAAGUCUUUCUGGAUAAGAGCAUCUGCUAAAUGACUAAAA